ACUUACGUCAUAUAUUUUUAUGUGUGCUCUUCAAUGCAGUACAAUAAGUCUUUACAUUUAAUGUCAUCAAUUGGUAUUUUAACUAAGUGAAACAACAUAUAAUAAAACCAGUUUACUAUGGGCUAAUUGAUACAAACAAGAGUUAAGUUCCUAUGGUGUAACAAAUGAUGUUGAGUGAAAUGAGAUUAUUCAAGUGCCUGCCAUGUAGAUUCUGAAUAAAGGAAAAAAUGUCUGGAGUGAUUUUAUCUUUGAUGAAAGUUUCAUUUUAAAAUAAAGUUUAGGCCAGGGCCAGAAUAUUAUUGCCUGGUUAUAAGAAAACCAUUUUUAAAAAUUUCAUUUCAUUUCACAUAAACAACCUUUGGUGAGAUUUUAAUGUUUUCAGAUAAUUGGGAUCCUAUGUUUCGUUCUGGCUUUGCAUUGGAGAAUGAAAUAAUUCCUCUCAAACUGUUGCACAUGAUUGUAAUGUGUACAAAUAUACCUGGCAGUCCUUGUUCUCCUAGAGCACUUAUAGUCAGUGUUUAAUGAAUGUAUAUCAUUUUUAAUGUGACAUAAUAGUUGAAUGUUGAACAUUGUUUUCUAAAAGUUAUAUUGACUGCAAAGUUAGUGCAACUUAAUUGGCCUCUAAAGAUCAUUUAUUCUGAUGUUUCACUUUACCAUGACGAAAUUGGGGCUUAAGACAGUUUUGACUUUUGUAAAGUCAUGUAUUACUCCUAGAAGAACAUUGUCUUUACGGAGAGCUGGGUUUAAAUCUGUAGGCCUCUGACUUGGGCAAAAUUCCCCUCUUUACCUUUCAUCCUCCAUUCUAUAUAAUGAUAAUGCCUACCUUACCAUUGUGAAGAUGAUAGAU